GCAAGUCGAACGAGAAAGUACCUUCGGGUGCGAGUAGAGUGGCGCACGGGUGAGUAACACGUAGGUGACCUACCUUUAGGCGGGGGAUAACUAGCGGAAACGCUAGCUAAUACCGCAUGUGCAGGACAAUUUUGAAAGUAGUCCUGGAAAGAGUGCUUCGGCACUUACCUAAAGAUGGGCCUGCGUAGCAUUAGCUUGUUGGUGGGGUAAUGGCCUACCAAGGCGACGAUGCUUAGCUGGUCUGAGAGGAUGAUC
rnacentral:rRNA from 1 species